rnacentral:rRNA from 1 species
CACGUAGGGGACGAGCGUUGUCCGGAUUCAUUGGGCGUAAAGCGCGCGCAGGCGGUCCUUUAAGUCUGAUGUGAAAGCCCACGGCUCAACCGUGGAGGGUCAUUGGAAACUGGGGGACUUGAGUACAGAAGAGAAGAGUGGAAUUCCACGUGUAGCGAUGAAAUGCGUAGAGAUGUGGAGGAACACCAGUGGCGAAGGCGACUCUUUGGUCUGUAACUGACGCUGAGGCGCGAAAGCGUGGGGAGCAAACAGG